CAGCCGCCGCGGUAAUACGAAGGGUGCAAGCGUUACUCGGAAUUACUGGGCGUAAAGCGUGCGUAGGUGGUUGUUUAAGUCCGUUGUGAAAGCCCUGGGCUCAACCUGGGAAUUGCAGAGGAUACUGGGUCACUAGAGUGUGGUAGAGGAUAGUGGAAUUUCCGGUGUAGCAGUGAAAUGCGUAGAGAUCGGAAGGAACAUCUGUGGCGAAGGCGACUAUCUGGGCCAACACUGACACUGAGGCACGAAAGCGUGGGGAGCAAACAGGAUUAGAUACCCGGGUAGUCCCUGUCUCUUAUAA
rnacentral:rRNA from 1 species